AUAGCGUAUAUUAAAGUUGUUGUGGUUAAAAAGCUCGUAGUUGGAUCUCAGUUCGAGUCAAGCGGUCCACUUGUUAGUGGUUACUGUUUGACUGAACACUUUACCGAGUUGUCCUAUGGUGCUCUUCACCGAGUGUCAUAGGCGAUCGGUACGUUUACUUUGAAAAAAUUAGAGUGCUCAAAGCAGGCGUAACGCCCGAAUAAUGUUGCAUGGAAUAAUGGAAUAGGACCUCGGUUCUAUUUUGUUGGUCUUCGGAAUCUGAGGUAAUGAUUAAGAGGGACAGACGGGGGCAUUCGUAUUGCGACGCUAGAGGUGAAAUUCUUGGACCGUUGCAAGACGAA
rnacentral:rRNA from 1 species